rnacentral:rRNA from 1 species
CGACUAAGCGUACACGGUGGAUGCCCUGGCAGUCAGAGGCGAUGAAGGACGUGCUAAUCUGCGAAAAGCGUCGGUAAGGUGAUAUGAACCGUUACAGCCGGCGAUGUCCGAAUGGGGAAACCCAGUGCAAUUCGUUGCACUAUCGUUAACUGAAUACAUAGGUUAACGAGGCGAAUCGGGGGAACUGAAACAUGUAGGUAUGCUGAGAAAAAGAAAUCCAG